GCCUUAGUAGUGUAGCGGUCAGCACGCUCGACGCAUAUUCGAGAAGUCCGUGGUUCGACUCUCGGCAAGGGCA
rnacentral:tRNA from 1 species